rnacentral:lncRNA from 1 species
CUGUUUCUGACUUUAUUAAUCUCAGGAGGUCUCUCUUCUUUUUGCUCUGCUGCUUCAAGCCUUUGGCAUCCAGUGCCUUGUACUUAAUGAAAGUUUGCAACACUCUGAGCAACUGUUCUCAGUUCUUCUGCCUUAUUUCUGGCCUCCGUUGCAACUGUUUUGACCUAGUGAAGGCCUAGACUUUCUCAGACAGAUUUCUUUUAACUCUUCUGCCCUGACUCCAGUCUUCACUGGGAUGCUGCCUUGCACUUAGGGAAGGUUCACAUGCCUCAAGGAUCUCUCUCUCUCAGAUUUCUUGACUUUCCCUCAGUCUUCAGUAUAGUCCUCCUCUGUGCCUGGUGAAGACCUGUGGUAAAGUGCUGGCAGAGAGGAAGCUAAAUCACGUAAAAAUUAAGAAACAGCUCAGCGUUUCACAGCUAAGCUGCCGGCUUCCCCUUGAAGGAAUAGGAGUAGACCUGCUGAACUAUCACAUGAGAGAAGAGGCCCAAAAGCUUGCACACUACAGUCAAGCUGGCCCUUAAAGAGAUGGACCUAGAAGAUGCUGAGCCAGAUGUACUCAAUUACUUCUCCAAAAUUCAUCAAUUAGGAAUACAACAUGUUUAAGACCACAGAACAUCUGCAUAGGCUGUAAAUUUCGUUGAAUGAUGGAUGCAAAGAUGGAAGACAGAUGGAUAGAGGAAAAGACAGAAUCAGAUACUGGAUGAGUUAGUACUGCUGCCUGUGCUUCAGAGCUGUCUUAUUACCACAAGGCCGGCAAGCAUCAAUGUCCCCACAUCCCCCUCUGCCUCCCCCUGAAAUGUACCGAUUUAUAUGAAAAUUAAGAUUACAAAUUAAAGCCUGGCUAUCCUGGAGUUUUCCAGUUCAUCAGCCAUCCAAUAAAAAUGAUGUCAAGCCUGUAUGCAUAAUUCCCGGAAGAUUACUUUCGUCCUUACAGCUAAGCCCUGUCCCUGAUAUGAAAGAUCUCUAUCCACUUUUAUUGAAAUAAAGAACUAACAUCAUAAUCCCAAUAUUGAGGUAUAAUCUUCAUUAUCUCCUGACCCUCUUGAGGUUCCCCCAAUCUAUAUUACUUCAGAUUUGGUUUAUGUGUAAUCCUUAUGUAUUUACUUUUAUUGAGAUAGGAUUAAAAACUAAAAAAAAAGCUUCAAAAAAUCCUUAUGAUCUCAUGAUUGAGUUUCAUUUCACCAACAAUCAACUAAUGUGUUAGACUGAGUUUUUUUUUAAGUGCUUCUUAUAGUUAUAUAGUCCAAGCUUGAAAAGGCAUUAAUUGGUCCCAUGUGUUUCCUGUUUCAUUACAUGAAUUAUUUCCAAUUCAACUUGGUUUGUGAAAUAAUGGCAUCAUCUUCUUUUCCUAUUAGAAAAGGUGUGGGAGGGGGAUGUAUGAAAAGAUAAGCAUACACAUAAAAUAAUCCAAAGUAACUUAAAUCUCUUUUCUUAGGAAGUUUUGAUUCAUACCUAUAGUUAAUUACUGGUAAACCACAAUCUACCAACCUUUUCUUUCCCCCAGAGCCUUAAUAGCCUCUGGCUAUGCCUCGGGCUGUUAACUACCAAACUAGUCAUUAAUGCUGGUCAAGAUGAUUUCUUGGAGAUUAUUGCUCAUUUAUUUUUUUAACAGACAAAACAGAAUUUGCUUUGCACAUGGACUAAAAUAAUACUUCAGCCAUUUUUUUCCUUUCAAAAACAUAAACACUGAUGAAAAUCACAUUGUACUGUGGUAUUUUCAAAGCAUUUCAUAUGUUAUUUUAGCUGUAUUUUCCAACUGAAAACUGGAUUUGCAAUGCUCAGGAUUUCCCUGGUAAUCAUCAUGUUUGCUUAUUGUUUGCUAUUAUAUUUGGUAAAACACAUCUUGAUUAAGAGAUUUGAUGUGUUCUCUAUUUACCUGUGCCUCUUAUUUUUACCUUUUGUCCAAGGAUAUGUUAGGAAGAUAUUUGUUUUUUUAGAAUUGAAAACAGGGUAUGGAAAUAGAAAUACUUCACUAUUGGCAUAAAACAGCACUGGAGUGUUUUCUUCUUAACGUAGUAUUUAUUGUUUGAAAAGAAUUCUUAUUCUAUUGGUGUUUUUUUUUUUUCUUUUUUUUUUUUUUUUUUUGAGAUGGAGUCUCGCUCUGUCGCCCAGGCUGGAAUGCAGUGGCACAAUCUCGGCUCACUGCAACCUCCAUCUCCCGGGUUCACGCCAUUCUUCUGCCUCAGCCCCUCCAGUAGCUGGGACUACAGGCGCCCGCCACCACGCCCGGCUAAUCUUUUGUAUUUUUAGUAAAGACGAGGUUUCACCGUGUUAGCCAGGGUGGUCUUGAUCUCCUGACCUCGUGAUCCGCCCACCUCAGCCUCCCAAAGUGCUGGGAUUACAGGCGUGAGCCACCGCACCCUGCCUAUUCUAUCGUUAUUGAUAUAAAAUGGGAUUCAUUAUAAUUUUUAUUGGCUCAAUUAUUCCUCAUCUGUGAACCACUCAUUUUCAUUCAUUCGUGCUUUUACUUGAGCACCUGCUAUUGCCUGGGCACAUUCAGAGACAAAUUAGAGAAUGGAGAAAAAACUGGAAAGACAAAAACAAUCUAUGAUCACUCAGUCAUCUUUCUGCCAAAAAAUAAUAUUCAAACAUAAAAACACGUAUUGGAAUGAUUAGGCUUAUUAAAAUGUUUACUCAACAACUAAAAAGGAAGUGGAUGAAACAAUAUUUUGGUACCCUUAAUAUUUUCUGGUUAUCAGUUUAUUUCUGUGAAUUUCCUUAUUUUACUCUCGCAACAACUCUACAGUUCCUUAAAGCAACCUUAUACUUACACCUAUUUUGUGGAUGUGGAAAUUAAGACUUUAGAAUUGCUGAAGAUAUAGAAGAAACAAGAAGGUACUGGAAGAAAAAUGCAGAAAAGAAAGCUUCAGGGGUUCAAAUACAACAAUGCUCGUUUACUUAGCACCUUAAUUCCCGCACUUGCUUAUAGACAGAAAAUGCCUCCUUCCUUUCUUUUGAAAGCUGUGGCUCAAGAUGGCAGGACACCCCACAGAGUCCCAGUUUAGAUCUUGAAACAGGUAGAGUAAGAAUGGUUUUGGUUAGGUAGGUUUAACCUACCAACUGGAGGUUUAUUUGAAUUACAUCUAAAUAUUAUUUAUAGGAGCAAGUCUGCCAGUUAUUAAUAAUUUAUGAAAGUUGCUUAUUACCAGCUAUAAUGUAGGUUUUAUUGACCGAUAGAUUUAACUAUGGGAAGAAGUAGCAGAAAGAGAAAAGGAAGUGAAAAGGUGAUAUGGGAGUGUGGCUUAUUUUGAAAGAAUUCUAGUUUUGGCCAGGGUGUAUAAUGUAAGCUAGAAAAUAAUAAUACUGAGCACCAGGGAUGAGUGAAGAAUUCAUUUAUGUCUUUGGCUUAGUCCAGCGCUAUUUGACUUAAGACAGUGUGUAUGGUGUCCUGGAAAGGUUUAUAAUUUAUAAAGCUUUGAAUUCUCAGGGAUAAGCCAUGAAUUACAGGGUGAUUUCAAAAGCUUUACAUUCUAAGAUAAGCCACUAUUAUGCUUUUUCCUCAUUAAAGACAGGAGCUUCUGUUUUUUAGCAAAACUGACCCAAAUGUCUUUUAAUAAGAAUUGUACUGGCAUGCAAAAAUUUAAACUAUAAAUACAGUCUGUUUUCAUUAUUCAGGGUACCCAAUUAUUAUAACAACUACUUUACAUUAUGAAAAUAAAAUUCAAGUCAGUAAUAAAAAAUACUUUUUUUCUUGAAC